UGGGGAAUCUUGCACAAUGGGCGAAAGCCUGAUGCAGCAACGCCGCGUGCGGGAAGACAGCCCUAGGGUUGUAAACCGCUUUCAGCAGGGAAGAAACUGACGGUACCUGCAGAAGAAGAUGCGGCCAACUACGUGCCAGCAGCCGCGGUGACACGUAGGCAUCAAGCGUUAUCCGGAUUUAUUGGGCGUAAAGAGCUCGUAGGCGGUUCGGUAAGUCGGGUGUGAAAACUCUGGGCUCAACCCAGAGAGGCCACUCGAUACUGCUGUGACUAGAGUGCGGUAGGGGGAGCGGGGAAUUCCUGGUGUAGCGGUGAAAUGCGCAGAUAUCAGGAGGAACACCAGUGGCGAAGGCGCCGCUCUGGGCCGUAACUGACGCUGAGGAGCGAAAGCAUGGGUAGCAAACAGGAUUAGAUACCCUGGUAGUCCAUGCCGUAAACGUUGGGCACUAGGUGUGGGUCUCAACCGAACGAGAUCCGCGCCGU
rnacentral:rRNA from 1 species